rnacentral:rRNA from 1 species
AUUGAACGCUGGCGGCAGGCCUAACACAUGCAAGUCGAGCGAGCGGCGGACGGGUGAGUGAUGUCUGGGAAACUGCCUGAUGGAGGGGGAUAACUACUGGAAUCGGUAGCUAAUACCGCAUCCCACCAGAUGUGCCCAGUUGGGAUUAGCUAGGAGGUGGGGUAACGGCUCACCUAGGCGACGCUCCCUAGCUGGUCUGAGAGGAUGACCAGCCACACGGGAACGGAGACACGGCCCGGACGCCUACGGGAGGCAGCAGAGGGGAAUAUUGCACAAGGGGCGCAAGCCUGAUGCAGCCCUGCCGCGUGGGGGAAGAAGGCCUUCGGGUUGUAAAGCACUGUCAGCGGGGAGGCGGUACCCGCAGAAGAAGCACCGGCUAACUCCGUGCCAGCAGCCGCGGUAAUUC